UACAGAGGGGGCAAGCGUUGUUCGGAAUUACUGGGCGUAAAGGGCGCGUAGGCGGCCGCCUAAGUCAGACGUGAAAUCCCACGGCUCACCCGUGGAACUGCUGGGUAUACUGGCGGUCUUGGGCCAACUAGGGGCAGCUGGAACAAGCGGUGGAGCGGUGAAAUGCGUAGAUAUCGCUUGGAACGCCGAAGGUGAAAACAGGCUGCUGGGGUUGUGCCGACGCUGAGACACGAAAGCCAGGGGAGCAAACGGG
rnacentral:rRNA from 1 species